UAGGGAAUCUUCGGCAAUGGGGGGAACCCUGACCGAGCAACGCCGCGUGAGUGAAGAAGGUUUUCGGAUCGUAAAGCUCUGUUGUUAAGGAAGAACGAGUGUGAGAAUGGAAAGUUCAUACUGUGACGGUACUUAACCAGAAAGGGACGGCUAACUACGUGCCAGCAGCCGCGGUAAUACGUAGGUCCCGAGCGUUGUCCGGAUUUAUUGGGCGUAAAGCGAGCGCAGGCGGUUAGAUAAGUCUGAAGUUAAAGGCAGUGGCUCAACCAUUGUAGGCUUUGGAAACUGUUUAGCUUGAGUGCAGAAGGGGAGAGUGGAAUUCCAUGUGUAGCGGUGAAAUGCGUAGAUAUAUGGAGGAACACCGGUGGCGAAAGCGGCUCUAUGGUCUGUAACUGACGCUGAGGCUCGAAAGCGUGGGGAGCGAACAGG
rnacentral:rRNA from 1 species